CAGUCGCCACGGUAAAACGAGGGGGGCAAGCGUUGUUCGGAAUUAUUGGGCGUAAAGGGUGCGUAGGCGGUUUGAUAAGUCAUCUGUGAAAUCCCCGGGCUUAACCUGGGAACUGCAUUUGUGACUGGCGAGCUAGAGUAUGGCAGAGGGGGGUGGAAUUCCACGUGUAGCAGUGAAAUGCGUAGAGAUGUGGAGGAAUACCGAUGGCGAAGGCAGCCCCCUGGGCCAAUACUGACGCUCAUGCACGAAAGCGUGGGGAGCAAACAGGAUUAGAUACCCCGGUAGUCCCUGUCUCUUAUAA
rnacentral:rRNA from 1 species